AACUGAUACUACCUGCGGGAACCUGCGGAAGGAUCAUUACCGAGUUUUCAACUCCCAAACCCCAUGUGAACUUAUACCAUUUACACCGUUGCUUCGGCGGGUUCUCGCCCCGGGCUUUACAACCCCGGAACCAGGCGGCCCGCCGGGGGACCCAAACUCUAGAUUUUAUUUUAGCAUGUCUGAGUGGAAUCAUUACAAAAUGAAUCAAAACUUUCAACAAUGGAUCUCUAGAUCGGAAGA
rnacentral:misc_RNA from 1 species